CCACUACUAUCAUUUAUAGUGUCUCUCGAUUGUUUUGUGUGCAGCUAUGGAGACAUCAACGGCUGGCUUCUAUGGUGUGUAGGUGGAUGUCUCUUCACAGCAAAAGAUAAGUAGCUCCAUUGUGUACAGUGUCUCUCAUGCUCUCUGUGUAGGUUGAUUUGUGUGUGGAGAAGCCACUGUAACAGCAUACACACAGAUGAGUAGCUAGCUAUGUUGUGUGACAAGUCUCUCAUGCUCUCUGUGUAGGUUGAUGGUUGUGGAGGAGCCACUGUAACAGCAUACAUACAGAUGAGUAGCAAGUCUUUUAUCUCCCUACGUAGGGUGAUGGUCUGGCACUACCUAACACUGAAUGGCUGCAAUUUACAGAUGAGUAGCUAUAGCUAUGUUGUGUAGAAAGUCUUUUAUCUCCCUACGUAGGUUAAUGGUUGUGUAUAUAUGGAUGGACAAGGCGAUGGUUUGAUGGUCUGGCACUACCUAACACUGAAUGACUGCUGUACUUGUUCCUUGGUCUAUAAUUUAUAAUUAAUAUGAAACAAGGAUUGCUGUCUGUUGACGGGGGCUCCAUUUCUACAUGUUCCUCAUCAUUCAAGAUGUCUUGUAGAACCUCCUCCGUGGUCCAGUGUGGCCUCUUGGACAUGCCUGCAGCUCUAUAUUAUUAUUAAAAAAUGUUUGUUCAUGUUAUAAAUAUUUUGUGUUUGUUGGGUGGUAUAAAAACAACAGUAGUAUUCAAGCGUCUGUAUCAAAAAAAUUUCUGUAUGAUAAUUAUAAGCUUUUUACUUUAUAUAUGGGUACCUUGACAAUGGAUAGAAUUAGAAGGGGUCCUAGAUUCAGUCCAGCAGCAGCCCCACCCAGAUUCUUUAGCAGCCAAGAGAAGCAGGGCUGCUGCAGCUGACACCUAUAUUGGUAGAGAUGUCAGACUGAAAGUAGUGAGUGGGAGUAUUUUCUUACAGUAAAUUCAAUGGUAAGAAACAGGACCAGACAGUGAGUGAACAAGAAGGGCUUUCCACAGCAAGCCCUGGAAGAGUCUAGCAAACAACAGCUGUUCCCAGGGGUAAAAAUAGUGCAGAAUUUAAUUUUUAGAACAGUUUUUUAUGAUUUUAGCAUUUGGUGUUUGUUUUGUGUGUGAUUUUUUCUCAAAGGUGAUCAUCAUUUUGGCAACCAAAUAUUGUGCAAGGAAACUAAACCUUCUGUGGAUGAUUUGAUUGGUUGUUGUGGUUGGGAAAUUUUGUUGCACAGUCUGGCUUGGUGAUGAUGUGUGAUUUGAUUAUAAUGAUUUGUCUGGUCAGGAGUGCAUUCAUUCCUGGUCUGGUAUUAUGAUGAUAAUAAUGAUCUGAAUUAAUUGGUGGUCUUCACUGUUGAAUUGAUUUGUUGUUGUGGGAAUUUCUCAUCUCUUCUCUGCACAACACAAACAGCUAUGGGUGUAAUUAAAUUUUUGUUGUCUGGUGUUAUAAUUAUGUAUUAUU